UAUGGUAAUUGUGCCGCCGCGGUAAUACGGAAGGUCCGGGCGUUAUCCGGAUUUAUUGGGUUUAAAGGGAGCGUAGGCCGGAGAUUAAGCGUGUUGUGAAAUGUAGAUGCUCAACGUCUGCACUGCAGCGCGAACUGGUUUCCUUGAGUACGCACAAAGUGGGCGGAAUUCGUGGUGUAGCGGUGAAAUGCUUAGAUAUCACGAAGAACUCCGAUUGCGAAGGCAGCUCACUGGAGCGCAACUGACGCUGAAGCUCGAAAGUGCGGGUAUCGAACAGG
rnacentral:rRNA from 1 species